GACGAACGCUGGCGGCGUGCUUAACACAUGCAAGUCGAACGGAGCGGCGGACGGGCGAGUAAUGCCUAGGAAUCUGCCUGGUAGUGGGGGAUAACGUCCGGAAACGGGCGCUAAUACCGCAUACUAUCAGAUGAGCCUAUGUCGGAUUAGCUAGUGGGUGGGGUAAAGGACUACCAAGGUGACGAUCCGUAACUGGGCUGAGAGGAUGAUCAGUCACACUGGAACUGAGACACGGUCCGGACUCCUACGGUAGGCAGCAGUGGGGAAUAUUGGACAAUGGGCGAAAGCCUGAUCCAGCCAUGCCGCGUGUGUGAAGAAGGUCUUCGGAUUGUAAAGCACUUUAAGUUGGGAGGCGUUACCCGCAGAAGAAGCACCGGCUAACUCCGUGCCAGCCGCCGCGGUAAUAC
rnacentral:rRNA from 1 species